CGGUAGGCAGCGCGGCCGCGGCCGGGGGCUCGCCCAGGGCCACUUCCGAGGGCUCCGAGGCUCCCACGACGGUUUGCUGCGGACCAGGAGGAUUAAAGCACGUGGAGAAAGUGUGAAAUUCAUCCCUCGGAAAGGAUUCCAGCUCUCCUCAGCUGAUCCCUGUGGCAUUUGGGAAUUCCCAAGCCAGGAAGCGAAUCCUGGCUGGCAAAAUCAAUCCCUGGAGCACAACGGGAUCAACUCCUCCCAAAAUCCCCCGAAAUGCAGAAAUCUGAAUUAAGAGACUGAAAUCCCUCAUUCUCCCACAAAUUCAGAAGCCUUGGAAAAGCCCCCGCUUUGAUUUUUGCACCUUUUACCCGGCACAGGAAGCAGAGCAGGAAAGCGCCCCAAAAUCCCUCAGAGCCAGAAUAUUUAUGCAAGGUUCGGCCCCGAUUUUGAGGAGAAAUCCACCAAAACGAAGAAAAGUGUCCGAGGUCAGGCUGAAAGGAGCCGGGACCGCGGCAGGGGUGGAACUGGGCGAGUUUUAAGUCCUCUUCCAGCCCAAACCGCCCCGUGAGUAACAAAGGGAACAAAGAGCGAGCGCAGACUGCAAACCCCACAACACAGAGACUUAAUAUCCAUUAAUCCUAAAUCGCUGUCGAAAAUUACAUCCUUGCGCAGGGCAGGGGCAGCUUUAAUGCCGGUUAAUUCGGUUUUUUGUGCCCGAACCGGUUCGGCGGGGCUGCGGAGCCGCGGGGUUCGCUGCUGCGGCUGAGUCAGGAGCGCUGCCUCACGCAGGAAUCAUCAAAGACAGCAAAGAUUUGGGGUGGGAGCGCUGCUGCCGGAGCUUGGCAGCCCUCGCCGUCCUCACUUCAAAGCGCCUCUGCCCGCUGACAUCAGCGGCACAAAGCUCGCAUCAGCAACAAUUCCACCCAUCGGGCAGGAGGAGCCGCCGAGCGGGUAAUUAACGCAAUUAACACCUCCCUCCCCGCGCCUUCUGCUCUAUCAGGAGCUCGGAUUUCGCAGGGAAAGUCGGAGAAGCCCAAAAUCCAGGCGGUGACCCCCGGCCCGCUCAGGGCAGGGAGUGACCUCGGUUGGUCUCGGUGGUGGUUGCCCAAGAGCCGGCGGCUCCCGGGGUGGGGAUAAAUCCCCAAAUCCGCCCAGCGAAGGGGUUUGGGGUUGGUGGGACCCGGAGCACGCCCAGGGUGUCUCAUCCUGCUCCAGGAAAUCCUUCCCGAUCCCAGGUUCCUGCGCUGGGGAGGGUUGGAGCAAACGGCAGCCCCUGGAUCGAGCCGUCCGUGGAGGGGGGCGCGAGGCAGGGAGGGUCUGCUCCAAAAAGAUGCUCCAAAAAGAUGUGCCCGAUGAAGAGAGCCUUUCCUGGAGGUUUUUUCGGCUGAUAAAAAAAAGGGAUUUUUUUCUUUUAGGAUGGUCCAGCCUUGCCAGGACUCCGAGGUGUGGGGGAUACUGAGGCUCACUGGGGUUUUUUAGUCUUUCCAGGGUUUCUCAGAGCAGCUGAACCCCCUAAAUCCAGCAGUGGGCCCCAGGAUUUCUGCUUUUUGUUCGCUUCUAGCUGGCAUUAAACCCAGCUAUUUUUCAGAUUUUAAAUCCUGAAAAAUAACAAAGGGAUAAAUUCAGGGAAUUAAAUGUUGGAGGAGCGCAAAAGGGAAAGGGAAUGAAGGGAGGAGAGCUGUACUGAGGUGUAGAAUAUAUAUACAUAUAUAAAACAUGUAUAAAUAUAAUAGAAAUAAAAAUAAAUAUUGUAGAAAGAAAUAGAAAUAUGACAUAAACAGUGUAAUUGUUAUAUAGGUGUUAUGUAAAUAUAUGGAAAUUAUACACAUCAUAUGUAAAUAUUGUGCAUAAAUAUUAUACAUAAAUAUUAUAUAUAAAUAUUAUAGAUUUAUAUACUAAUAUAUAAUUGCAAGAAAAUUGAAAUGCCGGGUUGGCCAGGGCAGCAAAGCAAAUUCAAUUAUAUAAAU